CCUACGGGGGGCUGCAGUAAGGAAUAUUGGUCAAUGGACGCAAGUCUGAACCAGCCAUGCCGCGUGGAGGAUGAAGGUCCUCUGGAUUGUAAACUUCUUUUAUCUGGGACGAAACACUCCUAUUCUUAGGGGCCUGACGGUACCAGAUGAAUAAGCACCGGCUAACUCCGUGCCAGCAGCCGCGUUAAUACGGAGGGUGCAAGCGUUAUCCGGAUUCAAGGGGGCGAAGGUGGGUGUAUAUGGGUGUAUUGAAAUCCCCGAGCUUAACUUGGGAACUGCCGUUGAUACUAUACAUCUUGAAUAUCGUAGAGGUAAGCGGAAUAUGUCAUGUAGCGGUGAAAUGCUUAGAGAUGACAUAGAACACCAAUUGCGAAGGCAGCUUGCUAUGCGAUUAUUGACACUGAGGCACGAAAGCGUGGGUAGCAAACAGGAUUAGAUACCCCUGUAGUC
rnacentral:rRNA from 1 species